rnacentral:lncRNA from 1 species
ACCUGGCCCUGGGGUGAGGGAAACGACCCGAAGGCCCCGCGGGGGUGCCUCCCCCGCCCGCCCCGCUCGGCGGGGCGGGACGGGGGAGCGUCCGCCCGCGGGGGCGCGCCCGACGUCCGCCGCCACCACCUCGCGUUCCUCCCGGGGCCCGGGGUUUCCCUCGGCAACCCGGCGCCGGGCGGCAGCUGCACCCGGGAGGAGCCGCGAGGCUCGGACCGCCCGCGCGGGACCGAAGCCGCCCGGGGCACCUCGCGCCUGCCGCGCGUACGCGGCGCGCGCGUCCCUCCGGCGCUCGCCCGGAGUCGGCCGGCUCCGCAGCCGCCCGCGACCCGGCCCCGUCCCCGCGACGGGCCGGGCGAAGGGGGUGGGGGGUGAGGCCGGGGGAAGCGGCCGACUUCCCGCGCCCCGCGCUCGGACCCGCCGCCCGCCGCCUCCCCCGCGCGCGGCCGCCCGCGCGGCUUCCCUCCGAGCGGACUCGGGGUGCCGGCGUCGACAGCGGCGGGGGCCGGUGGCGAGUUUCCGGCCGAGCGACGAAGCGGGGAGCCGUCCUUCCACCCUCCGCACCGCCGCCACCUCCCGACCCCGACCCCGCGGUCGGAGCGGGACUCGGCCGCGGGACGCUCCGGAGCGCGGCGACCCGGGCGAGGCCCGCGGGACGCGCGCGCGCGGGCGCGCGCCGGCGAGGCGACCGGACGGACCGGACCCGCGGCGUGCGGACCGACGGCGGACCGGCGCCGGGGGGGAGAGACGCGCCGGAGCGCCGGAGCGCCCCACACGCGCCUCCCCCCCCGGAGCUGCGCUCCGCGCCCUCGUCUCCCUUCUCUCUCGCCGGCAGGCGCGCGGAGCGACUUGCGGUGUUUUUUUUUUCUUUCCCCGUUUCGACCGGGGGAGAGGAGCCGCGCUCCGCGCGGAGCGGGCUCGGGGAAGGGAAGGGAAGGCUGCGCGCCCGCGCGCGCUCGUGCCACGGCUCGGCCGGACGCCCGGCCUCGGCCCCGGUAAUGAUCCUUC